GGUGCAGUAGGUCAGUUAGUCGAGCGUCAGACUCGUAAUCCAAUGGUGGUGGGUUCAAUGCCCGUUUGUGCCA